GAGGGAGUCUUGUACGCCAAGAAGGACUACAACCUGGCCAAGCACCCCCAGGUCGAUGCCUUGAACCUCGAGGUCAUCAAGCUCAUGCAGAGCUUCAAGUCCUAGGAGUACAUCAGGGAGACCUUCUCGUGGCAGCACUACUACUGGUACCUGACCAACGACGGCAUUGAGUUCCUCCGCACCUUCCUCAACCUGCCAUCUGAGAUCGUGCCCAACACCCUCAAGAAGUCCGCCAAGCCCCCGUCCCGCCCCUUCGGCUCUGGCCCACCGGGUGACCGCCCCAGGUGA
rnacentral:rRNA from 1 species